rnacentral:rRNA from 1 species
UGGGGAAUAUUGGACAAUGGGCGAAAGCCUGAUCCAGCCAUGCCGCGUGUGUGAAGAAGGUCUUCGGAUUGUAAAGCACUUUAAGUUGGGAGGAAGGGCAGUAAGCGAAUACCUUGCUGUUUUGACGUUACCGACAGAAUAAGCACCGGCUAACUCUGUGCCAGCAGCCGCGGUAAUACAGAGGGUGCAAGCGUUAAUCGGAAUUACUGGGCGUAAAGCGUGCGUAGGCGGCUAAUUGAGUCGGAUGUGAAAUCCCCGAGCUUAACUUGGGAAUUGCAUUCGAUACUGGUUAGCUAGAGUGUGGGAGAGGAUGGUAGAAUUCCAGGUGUAGCGGUGAAAUGCGUAGAGAUCUGGAGGAAUACCGAUGGCGCAGGCAGCCAUCUAGCCUAACACUGACGCUGAGGUACGAAAGCAUGGGGAGCAAACAGG